rnacentral:rRNA from 1 species
UACGGAGGGGGCUAGCGUUGUUCGGAAUUACUGGGCGUAAAGCGCACGUAGGCGGCUUUGUAAGUUAGAGGUGAAAGCCCGGGGCUCAACUCCGGAAUUGCCUUUAAGACUGCAUCGCUAGAAUUGUGGAGAGGUAAGUGGAAUUCCGAGUGUAGAGGUGAAAUUCGUAGAUAUUCGGAAGAACACCAGUGGCGAAGGCGGCUCUCUGGACCGAGACUGACGCUGAGGCGCGAAAGCGUGGGGAGCAAACAGG